CCGCGGCUCCGCGACUGGCGCUGAAGAUGGAGUCCCAUCGGGAAGCGGGGUCCGGCCGAUGGCCGGCGCGAGCCGCGCGCCUGGGUGAUCCAU
rnacentral:ncRNA from 1 species